CUUCCCCUCCCCUCUCUCAUUUGCCCCAAGUCAUGUUCAUGCCUUAGUUUCACCUUGCUGUGACAAAUGUCUGGGAUCAGGUUUGUUUUGGAUUGUACUUUUGGAGGCCGUAUCCUGUGGUCAGCCUACUGCACUGCUUUAGGCUCUGUGGUAGUCCCUUGGGAGCCAGAAGCGAAAGUGGAAAGAGGAAGGGGUUGGAGUCCCACAGUCCUUUGUCAGGAAUGCCUGCAUGAACUGAAGAUGUUCGCCGAGGCCCCACCUUUGAAGGGGUCAUGCAUUGCAGGCUUGUCUCAAACUCUCUAUGCAAAUGAGGAUGACCUUGAACUUCUUAUUCUCCUUCCUUUGCUUCCCAACGCUGGGAUCCCAGGCUUCAGCAUGGCAAGAAGGUGUUGGCGGCAGUGGAAGGAUGGCCGAGCUUCUCCCAUGGUGGUGAAUCAGGAAGCAGAGAUCAAGGCUGGAACAUCAGCAGGGCUCUAACCUUCAAAGGGCUGCUGAGAUGACCUGAAGAGCUGAUUCAAACUCCAGAAUCUACAAGGUGGAAGUUGAAAAUCGACUCCCCAGAGUUGUCCUCUGGACUCCACACACACACACACACACACACACACACACACACACACACACACACACACCUAAUAAACACAUACUUGUUUUUUAAAAAAUGCAAUUUCAAUUUCUGUAGCGUCUGCUUUUCCUUGCCUUCUCAGCUCAGUGACUGGCGCUGUGCUGGUGGAGGCUGACUGAAACCCACCUUCCUCUCUCAUAUCAUCCCAAGUUCACACUCCCGCUGAUUUACUUAUGUUCUGUACCAAACAAGCUCAAAUAAUUUCCUUCAGGGCUUCAGGUUGAUUUUUCUCCUAGGUCUCUCCCUCCCUCCUUUCAUCGUUCUAUCCCUCUCUUCUUUCUCUCUCUUC
rnacentral:lncRNA from 1 species